rnacentral:rRNA from 1 species
UUUAUUGGAGAGUUUGAUCCUGGCUCAGGAUGAACGCUGGCGGCGUGCCUAAUACAUGCAAGUCGAGCGAAUGGAUUAAGAGCUUGCUCUUAUGAAGUUAGCGGCGGACGGGUGAGUAACACGUGGGUAACCUGCCCAUAAGACUGGGAUAACUCCGGGAAACCGGGGCUAAUACCGGAUAACAUUUUGAACUGCAUGGUUCGAAAUUGAAAGGCGGCUU